rfam:Myotis lucifugus cont2.52579, whole genome shotgun sequence.
UAUGGUUCUUGGGUGACACACCCCGGAAUCGGGCCCCCUCUUCUCUGGUUCCAGGUGUGUCACCCGAGAACCACC